rnacentral:rRNA from 1 species
CAGCCGCCGCGGUAAUACGUAGGGGGCGAGCGUUACCCGGAUUCACUGGGCGUAAAGCGGGUGUAGGCGGCUCGGUAAGUCGGGUGUGAAAUCCCACAGCUCAACUGUGGAAUUGCGCCCGAAACUGCUGAGCUUGGGGCCGGUAGAGGGAGACGGAACUGCCGGUGUAGGGGUGAAAUCCGUAGAUAUCGGCAGGAACGCCGGUGGGGAAGCCGGUCUCCUGGGCCGCGCCCGACGCUGAGACCCGAAAGCUAGGGGAGCAAACCGGAUUAGAUACCCGGGUAGUCCUAGCCGUAAACGAUGCCCACUAGGUGUGGGGGAUUAAUUCCUCCGUGCUGUAGCUAACGCGUUAAGUGGGCGGCCUGGGGAGUACGCCCGCAAGGGUGAAACUUAAAGGAAUUGGCGGG